UACGUAGGGUGCGAGCGUUGUCCGGAAUUAUUGGGCGUAAAGAGCUUGUAGGCGGUCUGUCGCGUCUGCUGUGAAAAUCCGGGGCUCAACCCCGGACUUGCAGUGGGUACGGGCAAACUAGAGUGCGGUAGGGGAGAUUGGAAUUCCUGGUGUAGCGGUGGAAUGCGCAGAUAUCAGGAGGAACACCGAUGGCGAAGGCAGAUCUCUGGGCCGUAACUGACGCUGAGGAGCGAAAGCAUGGGGAGCGAACAGG
rnacentral:rRNA from 1 species